rnacentral:rRNA from 1 species
UCUAAUACCGGAUACGACCGCUGACCGCAUGGUUGGUGGUGGAAAGCUCCGGCGGUGAAGGAUGAGCCCGCGGCCUAUCAGCUUGUUGGUGGGGUAAUGGCCUACCAAGGCGACGACGGG